rnacentral:sRNA from 1 species
AACCAUCGCGGCUCCAACAUGGCUCCGCGGCUGUGCAGCAUCUCUGUGGCGGCGCGGCGGCUGCUGGGGGGCCCGGGGCCCCGCGCUGGGGACGUUGCGGCUGCAGCUGCGGCGCGUUUCUAUUCUAAGGACAAUGAAGGCAGCUGGUUCCGCUCCCUCUUUGUUCACAAGGUGGAUCCCCGGAAGGAUGCCCACUCCACCCUGCUGUCCAAGAAGGAAACCAGCAACCUCUAUAAGAUCCAGUUUCACAAUGUAAAGCCUGAAUACCUGGACGCCUACAACAGCCUCACGUGAGCAUCCUGCAUCCAUACAUCCCAGCCCCUCCUUGGGUGGGGAACAUACUUUCAGCAAAUUUGCAGAACAUCCUCUACCCUGUUCUUUUUUGUAGAAAUCCAGGAGAUGUAGAUUUCUUUUAUUUCUGCCUUUUUCUUCCUUUCUUUUUUUUUUUUUUUUUGAGAUGGAGUUUCGCUCUCGUUGCCCAGGCUGGAGUGCAAUGGCACGAUCUCAGCUCACUGCAACCUCUGCCUCCCAGGUACAAGCGAUUCUCCUGUCUCAGCCUCCCAAGUAACUCGGAUUAC